GCAGAGGAGAUUCCAUCAUCUGUACAUUGCACGGACCUGGUAUUCACAAUCCCCUAUCAGCUUUAUGCAUUACUGACCUCCACAGGCAUUUUGGGGGAAGGCACAGCAGGAAGAGAGACGAAGGGCAAAGUUUGUCAGGAAUGGUGAAUAACAGUUGGAGGACUUCUUCAUUCUUGAGCUGCAAGAUAAACAGAAAAGUGGAGCUAAAGCAGUGGGAGAAACUACAGCAGCAAAGGAAACCAUCUAUUUUGGCGUGAAGCCUGCUCUGGGAGUGGCUGCUGUGCUUUCUUUGGAUUCAAACUGCUAGAGUGUGGAGUGCUUUUCCUCAGGAAGUCUUCACAUUUCCUGCUGGGCCAGAUGAGCCAGAAGAUCAAAGGUGUGAGACUACUGAAUUGAAAAUGGCAGAUUUUCAUAGCAGUAAAUCCAGAAAAAAGAGGUCUUCCAGAAAAUAUCAAAGCUCUUUUUUGAGAAAGCAAACCCAAGGAGCUCAUGGUUGUUCAGCUUUAAAGCCACAACUAAUGACUGGGAAUGUCAUCUACCAUCAAUCUCUUAUGUUCU